AGAUAAACCCUUGUUGCCUAGUUGAGGGGAAGGUUUUUGGGUUUGGUUGUGAAGGGUGUUGGACCAAGACCCAAUGUGUGAGGGGGAUGAUUGUUAACAAUCUCAUAUUGGUAGGAAACAAAUUGAGUGUGGGUAUAUAAAUGUGAGGGAAACUUCAUCACUUGAGUUAGCUUUUGGGGUGAGAGAGGCGUGGAUCACAUGGAUCACUACCAAUGUUGGUCUUACGUGGUAUGACAGUUGAAGUUUUAAACAAUUUCAUCCAAGUCUAUGAUACGGUCUACAACCUGGUAAUGCCCAUCCUUAGAGGCCUAGAUAAGGGGGAGGUUUCUUGCACUUACUCCUCAGUUGGCCUAAUAACGUAGUCCUAAAAGAGGGAGAGGUCCUUGUUGGCUUGGUUGAAGGGGAGGUUCAUGUGUUUUAUUGUGAAGGGUGUUGGAUUGAUGGGUCAAUGUGUGAGGGGAAGGAUUGUUGAGAAUCCCAAAUUAGUUGGGAAAUAAAUUGGGUGUGAGGGAAAAGCUCAUCUCUUGAGCAAGCUUUUGAGGUGAGAUAGGCUCAAGAUCACUGCCCAAUGUUGGUCUUACAUCAACUAUCAAGUGGAACAUAUCUUAGCACACCCUUGCAUUAUGUGAGAAGGCUAAGGAGAUAAUGAUGGACGAAAGCAAUGUCCAGCCUGUGAAAAGCCCUGUAACAAUUUGUGGUGAUAUUCAUGGGCAGUUUCAUGAUCUUGCAGAACUUUUUCAAAUUGGAGGGAAGGUAUCAGUCUUAACUAUAACCAUUUUGUAUUCAACUUUCUGUUUCAGCAAGGGAAUGUCUAAAAUAAUUGUUUGGUCCUGUCAAAGAAAUGCUUUUGCAGAUUGAAGUGCUCCAGAGAUAUUGUAGUUGGGUAAAUUGCCAAUAGUCCAGAAACUGUUUUCUCAUUUAUCAAGCAUCGGCGUAUAUUAUUAAGUUUAUGCUCCGUCAGAUAAAAAAGUAUUAAGCCAUUGUUAUUGCUCUCUGCAUAGGAGAUAGGAGUUGUGUUUUGAUGGAUUUCUUGUGAUUAAUGGUACAUUGCAUUUCCUUCAUUGGAAAAAAUCAUUAACAAUAGAGUUAAGUUGGUGUCCUUUUUAUCUGACUUAGUUUUUGUCAACUGGCUUUCAGGAACAAUCAUAGUAAGGGCAUACUAUCAUUGGUUUUACCAUUGCUUGAUAAAAUCUAUAUGGUUUGAUUUGAUUUUUGAAGUGCCUUCGCUGUGCAUUUUUAUGUCUUUGCAUAAGAUACUCUGUUGAUUUGUCUUGUGAACAUUUUCCUGUUGAUUUCAAUCUGAUCCUAUGUAUCAAACUGACAGUGUCCGGAUCCCAACUGCUUGUUUAUGGGAGAUUAUGUAGACCAUGGCUGUUAUUCUGUUGAA